rnacentral:tRNA from 1 species
GCGGGCGUAGCUCAGUUGGUUAGAGCGACGGAUUGUGGUUCCGUAGGUCGCCGGUUCAAAUCCGGUCGCCCGUCCCA